rnacentral:rRNA from 1 species
UACAGAGGUCCCGAGCGUUGUUCGGAUUUACUGGGCGUAAAGGGCGCGUAGGCGGCCUUCUAAGUCGAACGUGAAAUCCCCGGGCUCAACCCGGGAACUGCGUCCGAUACUGGAAGGCUUGAAUCCGGGAGAGGGAUGCGGAAUUCCAGGUGUAGCGGUGAAAUGCGUAGAUAUCUGGAGGAACACCGGUGGCGAAGGCGGCAUCCUGGACCGAUACUGACGCUGAUGAGCGAAAGCCAGGGGAGCAAACGGG